CGCCCACCACACGGGUCGUGCUUCACCGCCGACCGAAUCGCCUCCGGCGCUGUCGUCGUUGCUCAUCUCGCGUCACCUCGCGCCCAGCCCCCUCCUCGCCUCCCACACCGCCGCCUCCUCGCGCCCUGGGUUCCUCUCCUUCUCCAGACCUCGACGUCGCCGCCGGCUGGGAUAGAGAUGGAGUGGCCGCCCGGACGUCGGGUUCCGCUGCCGCCACCGGCCGCCCGGAGCUGGCUCUCCCCAGCCGCCGCCGCGACAGCCCGGAGCUCGGGUUCCCCAGCCGCCGUCGGCCGCCCGGAGCUCGGGCUCUCCCACGCCGCCGCGGCUGCCCGGAGCUCGCGCACGGCCGGAUCCGGCCCCGCUGCCGCGAGCUGGGGGAUCAGGGCCGGGGCCGGGGCACAGGAGCUCGCGGCUCGGGGGAGAGAGAAGACCGUCGCAAGCCGUCGCCCAAGACCCAGCUGCACCCAGUCGUCUCGCUCACCAGUGUGGCCGCGAGGGGAGGGCGCCGGCCAGCGCGUGCUCCGCGUCGACCCGAGGUCAUGCUUCCCAUGCCCGGGGACAUUCGCCGCGCUCUGCCUUGACAUGGCCACGCUCACCACGCCAAAACAUUCGCUUGCCCACCAUUAAGGUCGACGAGGCAUCCUGCCAGCAGGAGGUUGCUGAUGCCCUGCUUCCUGCUCCGUGCUUCCCGCCCGUUGAUCUGGCCAUACUUGCCAUGUCCGAGAAUAUGUUGUUGAUUGCUUCACUCGGUAAUAACAUCCAAGGUUCAAAUCUUAUUUUGCUUUAGGUGAAUGGAUAGCAACAGGGAAUUGUACCAUUAGCUUUACUUUUAUCAGUGUUCAUGCAUACUGCUAUCACUGGAUCAGUAGCUUUAGAUGAAGAAAACAGCUCUCAUUAUCUCAGUUUGUGUUUUCAUGCCCACAACAUGGAUACCUCACCACGCCUGGACGUGUGCAAUGGUAAUCCUUGGAACAGCCAUGUCAAAUAGCAGCCAUACACCCAUAGGAUUCAGCGCAUUUAGUUAUGAGAAGGGCAGGAUGAUUAUUUUCCUUACAACGAUUAGGCAGACAAGCUAAUGUAUUUUUUUAUUCGAACGGUAGGGUCUUAAUCUCUUACCUAAUCACUGUUCGAUUUGCUGCAAGGGUUUGAUUAAGGAUUAAAUCUUUUCAAAUGACGACAAGGCUAAGCAACGAAUGAGUCAGAUAUGAAUAUGUGAUCAUAUCGAUAGCAGCUGUUCAUUUCGACACUAGACCUGCUUGUGUGCCUGUCACAGAGUUCUUUGUGCUUCAAAUCUCUCUUUUUUCCCAACAAGCAGAAGGAUGUACAACAUUAUUCCAGCCAACAUAAUUAUUUGCAAAUUAGUUAAACCUGCAAAUGCAAUGUAAUUAUUCCAAGUAGUUGCCUCGGCAUCGACGGGCAAGGAGGAGCUCGAAUCCUGCGACGGCGUGUUAUUUUCCCGAGCUUCCCCAUGGUGCGCAGCUUUGGCAAGAAACACGGCGACGAGCAUUUCGUCGAGGAACGUGGUGCAUGUUGUGUGAUUUUUUCAUGAGAUUGGGAAGUUGUGUGCUUGGGAAUUAACAUUUUCCCCUGAUUUUCCUCCAUGCCGAGCUUGAGAAAAAUCGCAACGAGAUUGCAAUGUAAUUUUCUUUUGCGUUGAUUUUUUAUUCAGCAUGCGUGAGAUCUGCUCUCUUCAACUACGAUCUGAAAUUUUCAUUUUAAUGUUUGUAUGUUCAUGUUUGCUAAUGUCUUAUACAAAUACAAUGAAGUAUCUCUAUAAUUUUCA